rnacentral:tRNA from 1 species
GGAGAGGUGGCCGAGUGGCUUAAGGCAAAAGUUUGCUAAACUUUGGUCCCGUAAGGGGCCUCAUGGGUUCGAAUCCCAUCCUCUCCG